rnacentral:lncRNA from 1 species
UGAGUGCGAGGCAUGCGAAGUAUCCGAAAUGAAAACCCCUUCAAAGAGGCUUCGGCGCCGAAGGAUCUUUCGAGGGGUUCGCCGCAAUGCUGUGCCGCCCAUCUCGAAACCUCGUCAGAAUAUUAAUGUAUUACAAGCACAUGAACUGUUCGACCGUCAUUGGUUCUUGGCUCUGAAUUGGUUCAGUGAUUCCGAUUAAUUUCAGUUUCAACCCUUUUUAGAGAAGGCUGAAGCAGCAAACUCUUUUAAGGAACACAGACAGGCAGACAGCUCUAGGGUUCAGGGUUUAUGGAUCAUAAGAAGAAUCUGCUCAAUUAACUCUAUUACUGGUAUCACUCACUAAGUUAACCCAGUCUCACUAGCUAAAUGGUGCUGAAUCAGUUUAGUGGGUGGGUAGCUAUCUGUUUAGAUGGUUCUAGCUGCUCUCCCUCUCUCACACUUGGAAGUGCAGAGGAGGAGGCAUUUUGAGUUUUGGAACAAAUCAAUUGUGGGAUUGAGUCAAUUAGGGUUGCACUAAUUCAAAAAAGAUGAUGAGAGAGAGAGAGAGGGAGAUAGGCAGAACUCAUAUCAAAUAUUGAAUUGUGGGGGGACAAAUCUUGGCGAAGUUCCCUAUGUUGAUGAGCUUGUGCAGAGCAAGCAGGUCUAGUGAAUAAAAACAAGG